ACUGUUACCACACAUCUAAGCCAUGUUCUCCAUGCUGUUACCUUCUCAUACUCAUAGUUUGAUCUCUUUCUGCCUAGCUCUCAUGUCUGUCUCUGGAUUGUUUCAAAUCCUAAGAGAAAAGGAAUAUCAUUUAUUGCCUCUUGCAAAGUAAAUACUCCUCUAUUUAACUGACGGGAUGAACCAAUGAUGUCAUUUAACAGUUUGUUUGUUGGUGAUCUCUACUGCUGAAAUCUCAUUAACAUACACAUUUACUCCUUUGAUCUUCACGAUAAUCCCAUGGAAUUGGCAAGUAAAAGGCAUUAUUGACAUUUUACAGCUUUUUCAGGAGUUAAGCUGCCUUCGCAAUGAGGAUCAAACCUGCAGCUUACAGCUUAUAGACUCGAUGUAUACUGUGAACAAGAUGCCACCCCCAAAUGAUGUAGUCAAUGGUGCUACCAAAAUCUACUGCAAAUAACCUAAUAAUUGUACACAGACAUCUUGACAUAGGCCAGUUCUCAACAACAGUAAAAUUUUGAGCCUGGAGUAUGAGAGCUGUAGAAAGGACAGCAGAAAAGAAGCAUUGAAAAUAAAUAAAAACUGGUCAGGGGAAAUUUGACA